UAGGGAAUAUUGGACAAUGGGGGGAACCCUGAUCCAGCCAUGCCGCGUGGAGGAAGACUGCCCUCUGGGUUGUAAACUCCUUUUAUAUGGGAAGAACCGUCCUCAUUGAUGAGUGACCUGACGGUACCAUAGGAAUAAGCACCGGCUAACUCCGUGCCAGCAGCCGCGGUAAUACGGAGGGUGCAAGCGUUAUCCGGGUUCACUGGGUUUAAAGGGUGCGUAGGCGGAUAUGUAAGUCAGUGGUGAAAUCAACGGGCUCAACCUGUUAACUGCCAUUGAUACUGUGUAUCUUGAAUAUGAGAGAGGUAGGCGGAAUGUUGCAUGUAGCGGUGAAAUGCUUAGAUAUGCUACGGAACACCGAUUGCGAAGGCAGCUUACUAUUUCGUAAUUGACGCUGAGGCACGAAAGCGUGGGUAGCGAACA
rnacentral:rRNA from 1 species